CAUGGGCUGUAAUUUAGUUCAAUUCAGAACUGCAGAUAGUACGGCUUCCACAGGAGCAAGGGAUGCCUGAGCAGAAGUGGCUGAGUUCCUAGUGACUUUACGAAGGACUUCUCCGCCUUCCUGCGGCACGAAAACAGGGAUUCUGCACCUGCACUGGGGACGGGCUGGUAAAAGCCUCUGCUCUGCCUCCGGGGACCAGGAACUACAGCAAAUAACCAUGUUGAAAUUGGAUCUUGGCAAAAUGACCAACAAAUUCAUGAAGGAAGCUGAAGGCAAUUUGAAUAAUGGUUCUACCGAAAUUGAAGAAACAUGGAUAUCUCCAAAGGAUAGUAGAGAGCUUGGUUAGUUGUACCCUAAAAUUAGGAUGUGAUUAAGAUGUAUCACUGGCCACAGGAAAUCUGUACAGCUCUUGUGACUGUAGAAAUUGUCCAUGCAUCCUGCCUGGGACUCACAGACCAUGUCUACACUUCUUACCCAGUUUCUGGACUCACAUAUUUUGAGCUCAAGAAACCUAGCAACUUCAAGCAUCCUCCUUGUGUGUCUACCACUUUGUGUUCUAGCCACACCAUUCUAAUAUUUAUACACUCUUUCCCUAACACAUGAAUUGAUUGCCCAGUUGCUUCCUCUUAAAAACCCAGUCUCCUUGGAGUACUUCCAUUUCUCUUUGUGGAUAAUUUCUAUUCAUCUUUUUAGUGGAUAAAAAUUAUUCAAAUUGAUUAGAGCUAUUCAAACAUUGUUAAACUUUCCAAAGAGGUUUUCAGAGAGUUAAUCUUUAGAGAAAUAUAUGUAUCAACUAUCUCUGAAAAUUCCCCAAGGAAGACUUAAAAAUAACUGUAAAGAGUAGCCCAACCUCUUCACUUUGCACCCAAAGAAACUGAGACACAGAGUAAAAGCUACUGCCCAAAGCCAUACUAUCCUAGGUGACAGGGUCAAGACAAACCACUCAUCUCUUGCCAAUCUCUGUAAUGGUGUCCCCAUUAGCCUUUCAUUCAGACCAUUCUGGACAAAUGUGCUAAUCUUUCUGAGUCUAAAUUUACAAUUGAGAAUAAAUGCUGGCAUGGUGGUGCCUGGCUGUAACCCCAGCUACUCUGGAGAGGGAGGCUAGCACAAGAGAAUCACAAGUUUGAGACCAGCUUGGCCAAUUUAGCAAACUCUACCUCAAAAUAUAAAAUGUAAAGGAUUAGGCGUGUAAUCCAGUGUUAGAAUACCCUGGGUUCAAUCCACAGUAUAAAAAGUGGAGAAUAAAACUGGAUAAUCCAGAUUAGUGCUUAUCUUUCCUUUUUUCAUCAUUAUUUGAUUCUCUAUUCGGCUUUCUUGUCUGUACACCAUGAGUUCCUACUUUCAGAAAGAGCUAACACUAUAAUUCUUAAGGUGUGCUCUGUCUUCUUCCUAGAAUGUUCUUCCUAUAGGUGGUUAAGGGUUAACUAACUCCCCUUGCAAUACUUUUUGAAAAGUCACCUUCACUGUCUACCUACUUUAAAUUUCAACCUCACCCUCAGCUCAAAUUCCUACUGUAUUUUUUCAAUCUUUAGUCUUUAUAACAGUCCAACAUACCAUAUCUUUAACUUAUUUCUGUUAUUUUUCAUUUUUCCUCACUAAAAUUUAAACUUUGUGAGUGCACAGAAAUUAUUCUACUGUGUUCUCUACUAUAUCCCAAAAUCCUAGAAUAGUGCCUGGGAUGUAGGAGAUUUGUGCAAUUGACUUAAUAAAUGACUAAGUUAAUAUCUAAUAUAAUGCCUUUUAGUGAUAUUUGCAAUUUAAGCAAAAUAAAACUGUAAAUAAAUAAUGAUGAAGACACUGUCUUAUAUGGAGUGGUGAGGGAAUGCUUCUCUAUAAAGGUAACUUACUUUUGAAUAGAGACAUGAAUGAGACAUGAAUGAAGUGAAAAAAAUGAAUCCAGCUAAUGGUCAAACAUUCUAGACAGACGAAGGCCUGAUCAAAGGCCCUGAGGCCACCUUGUAUUUGGCAGACUCUUUUAACAUGAAGAAAGUCCUUGUGACUGACGCAGAAGAGUGAGGCAAAGAGAGUUAGGAGAUAAAAUGAAAUAAAUUAUUCAGCCCAUUCCAGAAAAGCCUGGUGAGGAAUUUGAAUCUGAUAACCAGACAGUCUACCAAACUGAAAUGUUGGAAGAUUUGCAGAAUAUUGGAAAGUGCACAGUAUUCACUGUAAGUCAUUUAUUAUAUACCACAGAUUGAUUCAUAUUUAGAAGUUACAAGUGAGUGCAAUGAAAAGAGAAAUGAGCAUUCAAUUUUCUUCUUCAAUUACAUGAUUAAUGAUGAUGACAGCAAGAUACACAGAGAUAGAAAGCAACUUAAGUUGAAAAGGGCCAUACAGAAAACUUUACUUGAGAGAGAGGAGAGACUAAUAAAGGGUGGAAAAGAGUCUUGUUUUUUUAAAGACACAUCACAUGUAGCAGCCACACUAAAAAACAGUGUAAAAAAUUCCCCUACAUUAUGCAUUUUUCUGCAUUCAUAUUGUGCUUUUAUACUGUAUAGUGGAAUUUUAAAAAAAUAACUGGACAUUGUCAAAAAAGUGUUUAUUUUAAGCAGCUGUUUGAUCUCACAAACAUACCAAAACAUGAGCCAGGUCAUUCCACUUCUGUAAAACAUACUCUCUUGACGGAAAUAAUCUAUUAUUGUUGAUAACCUCAAUCCAAAUUCUGUAUAUUUUUAUAUGCAUCCUAAGCAAGAGGGUAAGUGGUAAAAUUAAAGGUUGUGCUUUGUCAUGUACCUUAUUCAUGAAGAUUUCCUAUUAUUCAUUUUCUACAUUCAAGCUCAUUCUCUCAAUGUUUAGUAAAUAUGAUGUCAUUUCUAAGAGAAAAUUUUCAAAUCAUCUAGCGUCUCCCCUUAAAGAUGAGAGUCAUUUCAAUAUGACACCAGAACAUCUUCUCUCAGCUCUUACACAGAAAGAUGAGGUCGUUUGUCAAAACACUCAAACUGUGUCGGAGGGUUUCUAAAACUAGAGGUCAUGCUUAUACUUCACUAUUUAGUUCAGGGUUUGUGUCAGUGAGCCUCUAAUAUACUUAACAGGUUUUAACUUGUCAAAUUAAAACCAUACACUAUAUGUAAUGGAACACAAAAGCUCUAGGAAUUAGCUGAAGAAAUUCACAUGGAAUUAGUAGAAUAUGUAGUCUCUUCAUCAUUUUACUUGUCCAAAGGGCACAGCAAUUGGGCAGAUCGCCUACCAUACAUUGUAAAUUAAUUCCAUUCAUUCUGAAAACUUGUUAGUUAUUUCCUUACUUUGAAUUUUGGCCGCCCUAAUUAAUCGCCGUUGGAGAAUUCAGGCACUUGAGCCUCUGCAAGGGGUGCACUUUUUCCAGCUCGUAAUCACAAACUCCUGACAGACAAGAGCCGAAAGCAACGGCUCCUUCACACUUUCAGCUGCACCUCGAGUCCGAAUCCUCGGCGACAGACUUUCUGUCUCUGAUUCCUGGGCUGAGUCCUCCUUGAGAGCAAUGCCUGGGUGAAGACUAAGACAGAUGACUUGCCUUAGUCUGGCCCUUAUCACGGUGAAGCUCUGGCUUGAACACGUAGAGAGCUACGCAGCCCGGGAAGAGUGCUUAGAAGAAACAAAGCACCCAGGGCCACCUCUUCAGGUGACAGCUGCUUUUCCAAGCCCCAGCUCUGUGACACGUGCUGCACUGAGGGACUCUGACUGCAUCACCUCACGGGGGCAAAAUGAGCCUGACACAAAGAGACCCUGGUGGCCUAGCGCUGCCAGCUCAGGCCUUUGCAGUUAAUGCAAGACAGCAGGUUGGGUCCGUAGGGGGCGCCCUGCGAUUUGUUAUCAGAGUAAAACAUCAUCGUUUUAUCUCAAAGGAAUGGAAACUGAUUCUUAACCUGGUCUAUUCAUCCAGAAUAUAUAUUCAUUCUGUAUUCUAUCUGACCGUUACUGAUUACAUUUCUUUAAGUUCAUGUAAUGAUGCAGGGAAAUUACUUUUUACCAUCAAUACUGUGUUUAAAAAUGUAGACACUCAAGAAAGAAUUGCCACCCAGAAAUUCAUUUUAUUUCUGGGAAAUUCCUAAAUUAUCUCAUGAAAACAAUCAUAUACACACAAACAGCAUUUUUUCUCUUUCUUGCUUCUUCUGGCAAGGGUGCUGACAGGAGCACAGCCUAGACUCUGUCACAGAGGCGGAUGGGCAAGCAAAGUGGUUCUCAUGUUUGACAAUUCCACAUAUCUGGAAUGAGCUUUGUACCUGGCCAGACAAGGACGCAGAAACUUUCUUUUACAUGUACUUCGCGCUUCUUAUUCUCCAUUGCUCAGUAAUCUUAGAAUAGCUUUACUCCAAGGAUCUAUGUGCUUUAGUAUCUCAUAUGGCCUAAUAGAACUUGCAUUUGUUAGGGUAUCAACAUAGCAAUGAAAAGGUAGUGAGAAAAUACAAUUUUAAGGUUUGACAUCUAGGGCCGGGGAUGUAGCUCAAUGGUUCUGCCGCUUGCCUCACAAGCGGAGUAAAAGUUAUUCCACAUUAGUCUAUUUACCCUUCUCUGUUUCAAAUGUUGAAAAAUCCAAAAAAUGUUUCAAAGAAGAAUGAGGUGGCAAAGGAAAGGAAAGGAGAAGAAAAAGAAGAGGAAGAAGGAUAAGGGAAGGAGAAAAGGAGGAGGCAGGAGGUGGAGAAAUAUAUUAGGAUGUUUUAGAACUAGGUAACAGCUAUUUCAUUUAUCACAAGGCAUAAAGCAUUCAACUAACUCUUUGUCCCAGAGAAAAGUAACAAAAAGAAUCCAUUAAGGAUCUCUGCUCUUCAGACAAAAAAAAAAUGGACAUUUAUAUUUUAUGACAUUUUGAGAUCAAAUGUAUUUACCUGUGGGCUCUCUGGAAGAAGUAGGGGGAAGAUCUGGGCCGAGAUAUUGCUUUUUAAUGUGGCAACAAUGUGAUAACACUGGUCUGAAAGAACUGCGAAGUUUUAGCUUCUUAAAAACAUUUAAGUAAGAAAAAAUAAAGAGAGAAAAGCAAAAGAGGAGAUGUGUAUUGUUGUAGUGAAACAUUCUAGACUCUACAUGUUAUCACUGAACUUAGACAAAUAAAUUUAAAAAAGGAAUAAGAGCUAGAGCAACAAUAAAAGUCUUGAAAGUUGAAAAGUAACUUUUAGACUGACCCAGGAACUUUGCUGAGCCCUUGAAAGAAGAGCAACUGCUGAUUUGAAAUGGUGCUGGAAUGUGCAUUGGCACCUGGCUGUGUCUUUAAAUUUUUAUCGAGUUUUAGGUAAGUCGUGUGUAUUUUCUCUCUCCUUUUCCUGUUUCAUGAAUAAAGUGACUUAAUUAGACAGGAUGAUAAAAAUACAAAGAAUUGGGCCAAGGAUUUAGCUCAGUGGUUCUGUUGCCUGCCCUGCAAGCGCAAGGACCCGAGUUCGAUCUCCGGUACCAAAAAAAAAACAAACACAAAGAAUUGGAAAUUUAAGCAAUAAUCUAUUUUGACUCAAAAUAAAAUCUUAGAAUAUGACAUAUAAUAAGUAGAAUUUACUUGAAUACUUUUCUCCAUUUAUUUAUGAGAAAAUUAUUGUUAGUUACUUUAGUUUUUAUCAGAGAAUGUGCAUAUUUAUGUUUUAACUAAAUGGAAAAUAAUACAAAUCUAUACUCAUUUUCAGCUAGUAAUCUAUAUUCAAAGUAGUGUCUAUCCAUCUAAAGUAUAAGUAAACUUCACUCAUUGGAUAUCCACUCCUCAUAUUCAUAUACUCUGAAAUUAAACCAUAAACUUGUAUAAUUUUGCUUCACAAAGGAAAGCAAAGAUAAAGCAAUUUUAAAAGGUUGUUUUGUUGGCUUUUUCUCUACUUCAGAUCUUAUUGAUUAGUGUAUAUUUGACUUAGAUGAAGCCUAUGCACAAAUGGACGUGUAUUUAUACAUCCAGUUGUAAAAAUAUAAAAUUCUACAUUAGUAGAAUAAUGCAAGAGUUAAUUCUAAACCGACUUAGGUCUAAAAAUCUCAAGAAGGCCAUCAUUGAGAUUAAAGAACAAAACAAGAAAACUCCGCUCAAUAACUGCAACUCAGCGCAAGAGAAAUGAUAUCCUCUCAUCUAAGGCAGGAAUUGAAUCCUGGGAAACAGAAAGGUUUAGGUGAUUCCAAAUCAAGCUUGCUUUUGGCCCCUAUACGCCUUGCGCUUGUGGAUCUCUCCUGACUGCCUCUAACUGUACCCAUCUGUGGCAGUGGCGUCAUGCCCACUUUAGAGGUCUCUUUUCUGUCCAUCACUCCCUCCCCACAUCCCUCCCUCCCUUUCUUCUCUUCUUUUCUCCUCCUUGCUACUUUCUUUCAUUCUUGUUUCACUUUACUAAGAAAACUAUUUAAGCCAGAGCAGCUUUACAUGGAAGUUGGGAUUUCAGAAAAAUAUGUAUUUGUGUUUGGGCUUUGAUGUGAAAUUUCUAAAUGAUCAGUGGAAGAGGAGGAGUAUUGGAGUUUUCAAAUUUGCUUCUGAAACUAAGACAAAAAUGGGCGUUCCUAUCUGGAUAUUUGUAGUUCAGAUUCCAAAGACUUCCUUGUGUUUGCCAGGUUUUGUUACAACUCCCUGCUCGUACUCUCUUGCGAAUCCCAAAGCAAACUACAGAACCAUAAAGUAAGACAACUGAGCCAGCCUUCAAGUUCAGCUUUACUCCUGCAGAAAAUUCCUUUAAAACAGCUCUGGUGUAUGUGUAAGGAUUUUAGAAUCCUGAAAAAUAUUAAAACAAAGAAUGAAGCCUUGAGUUAAUAUUCAAUGGCACGUGUACAGAAACAUAAAAAUAGGUCAGUUUAAGCAAAUCAUUAAACUUCACUCACUCACAUCUUUCUAAAAAAAGAAACAUUCUGUCCCACUUGGAGUCAUUGCAAAGACUCAAGGUUAUGUAGUUUCAACAAAUCUGGAACUUUAAAUAAUAUGUAUUCCCCCUUUCUCAGCUCUGUCAACCAAUGGACACACACUGCUGUCCUAAGAAGAAAUGUCGUGUUUUGGAAACUUAUGCUAUUUACAAGCAUGUAAAUAUACUGAAUUUUAGGAGACAUCUGUUUUAAAUUUCUCAGUAUGCUGUGUAUAUUUUAAUUUCAGUAUUUCUCCCCAAGUAUUCCACAUUUAAUAAUUAAAGUAUAUCUAAUUUUAGAAUUUUACUGCCCAUUCCAAUAAGAUACCUUUGGUAACUAUAGAGACUUUCAAACAUUAUGCUUUUAACAUUAUAUUAGCUUUAACUAAAAGGCUAUAUUUAAAGGGAGAGGAAAAUUGAACUCCUUCCCAUUUCUUCUGCCAUGUGCCUCAAGCUAUUUCCCGUAAUAGAAACAAAAGCUUAUUUGCCGAUAUCUUUUUUCUCCAAUGGACAUGUUUAGCUUUUGGAUAUCAAUUUUCUAAUCUCUGAGAAAUGAUAAUAUUUUUUCUGGAAUGCCUCAAAUGUUCUCAAUUUAGUAUAAGAAAAUUAUGAUAAAUUAAAAGUGCUUAAAAGAUUUUUCAUGAAGCCAAUUUACCUUAUCAGAGACAGUCUUGCAGUGUGGCUUCACAGAACGGUGUGUUUUCUCCAAGCUUUCAAAUCAGUAUUAUUUGCCAAAUUUUGGUGUCAUUCAUCUGACCUUAAUAAAAGUGGAUAAAAACUAGAAUUGAGAAAGUAAAAGAAACUAUAAAUGGGUAUGUAGGUUAAAAGUUCAUGUUUAGUAAACAAUUUUUAUUUCCCUAAAUAUGUAAAAAAGGAUGUUACCCUCAAUUUUUUAGUACAAAAUAAAAGCUAAAAAUAGACUGAAAAGUAAUAUAUUUUUGUGGCUUUGUUUUCCAAGAUGACAGGAUUUCUUUGUAAAUCACAUAAAAUGUGCUUGCCUUGUAGUUAAAUACAAGCAAUGAGGAGAAACUAACUGGGUUGUUUAAAUCAAUCAAUGUGUUUGAAAUUAUUUUGGGAAUGCUGAGACUUUUAAGGUGACUAUAAUUCUUUUCAUUUGUUUACAGGUCAGAAUUUCUUCAUUUGAGGCAUAAGCAAAAUCCAAUGUAACAUUAAGGAAAGCAAUUUUAAGCAAAAUAUGAUGACCAUACACUAAAAUGUAAAUAGCUAUCUCAAAGAGAAAGCUGCGUUGGGCUAUGAAGCUAGAGGCUACACGUCAAUGAAAUGUUCAUCAACUUUUUAGACAUUGACAUAGUGGAAAUUUAAUAAAAGAAAAAGAUGUAAUGAAAAAUUGAAGAUUCUAAAAUUAUUUUAUGUUGCUUUUAACAAUCUUUCUAGUGGUAUCUUUUGAAGAUAGCUAAAAUUAUUUCAAUAA